rnacentral:rRNA from 1 species
UUUGGUGAAAGGCAUUGUCCCUCAAGGGGAACUUGUACAGGUGCUGCAUGGCGGUUGUCAGCUCGUGUCGUGAGAUGUUGGGUUAAUUCCCCCAACGAGCGCAACCCUCGUCCUUUGUUGCCACCUCGUAAAGUUGGGCACUCUAAGGAGACUGCCGGUGUAAAACGGGAGGAAGGUGGGGAUGACGUCAAGUCCUCAUGGCCCUUAUGCCCAGGGCUACACACGUGCUACAAUGGCCGGUACAAAGGGUUGCAAACCCGCGAGGGGAGCCAAUCCCAAAAACCGGUCUCAGUUCGGAUUGGCAGUCUGCAACUCGACUCCAUGAAGUCGGAAUCGUUAGUAAUCG